rnacentral:misc_RNA from 1 species
CCUACCUAGAAACUAGAACCGAAACAAAAUUUCGGAACACUUCUAAUUCGGUUCUUCAUUAUUUUGAUUUCGGCUUGGUACGACUCUUAGUUCUUCAAUUCACAAGUUUAGUUCGAUACAUUCCAAUUUGGCCCUUGGUUCUUAAAACAAUUUUAUGCAAUUUUUUCCAUAAAAUGUUAUCCUUGAAUGGUUUUAAAUAACGACCGUUUCGAUACAUAAUGGUCAUUAUUUAAAGGUUUUUUGGGCUUACGCUUACCGUUACUGUUACCAUUACCGUUACCACUAUUAUUUAACGGAUUUUUAAAUUUAUAACUGUAAAGGCCAUUAUAGUUGUUAUAUAAAGGUAACGGCCGUUACCAACUUUAAGUAAAGGUUGCAAUGGCUGUUACUUUUCCAGCAAAAAAAUCUUGGCAUUUUUUUUUUUAUCUUUCUCACGUGAAAUGCUGUAUAAGGAACCCUUUUUUGGUCAAAAAAAUUCAUUUUAGCACCCGUCAUUCUCUCUAGGCUAUAAAGCCAUUUUCCCUCAACUCUCUCAAUUUUCUCCAUAACCAAUUUAAGUGAAAUCAUUCAUUUCUCUACAAAUUUUUGAGCUUAAGAGCAUGGAUCAUCAAAUAGACAAGGUAUUUUUAAAGUGAAAGAGAUUAAAGGGUGAGUUGCUAUUUUUUUUUGUUUCUUUCUAAUUUUUAGCUAUAUUCACAUUUUUAGGUAAAUACAUAAAUA